GAUCAACGCUGGCGGCGUGCCUAACGCAUGUAAGUCGUGCGGACUUCCUUCGGGAAGUCAGCGGCGAACGGCUGAGGAACACGUACGAACCUGCCCGCGCGUGGGGAAUAACGCGCCGAAAGGCGUGCUAAUACCGCGUACGCUCCGCCUGUAACGGGCGGAGGAAAGCCUUCGGGCGCGCGCGGAGGGGCGUGCGGCCCAUCAGGUAGUUGGUGCGGUAAUGGCGCACCAAGCCGUUGACGGGUAGCUGGUCUGUGAGGACGAUCAGCCAGACUGGGACUGCGAGACGGCCCAGACACCUACGGGUGGCAGCAGCGAGGAAUCUUCGACAAUGGGCGCAAGCCCGAUCGAGCAACGCCGCGUGGAGGACGGCGGCCUUCGGGUUGUAA
rnacentral:rRNA from 1 species